rnacentral:rRNA from 1 species
UUANUGAAUNUAGGACGUCCAACUUAACUUGGAGUCCGAACUCUCACUUUCUAACCCUGUGCACUUGUUUGGGAUAGUAACUCUCGCAAGAGAGCGAACUCCUAUUCACUUAUAAACACAAAGUCUAUGAAUGUAUUAAAUUUUAUAACAAAAUAAAACUUUCAACAACGGAUCUCUUGGCUCUCGCAUCGAUGAAGAACGCAGCGAAAUGCGAUAAGUAAUGUGAAUUGCAGAAUUCAGUGAAUCAUCGAAUCUUUGAACGCACCUUGCGCUCCAUGGUAUUCCGUGGAGCAUGCCUGUUUGAGUGUCAUGAAUACUUCAACCCUCCUCUUUCUUAAUGAUUGAAGAGGUGUUUGGUUUCUGAGCGCUGCUGGCCUUUACGGUCUAGCUCGUUCGUAAUGCAUUAGCAUCCGCAAUCGAACUUCGGAUUGACUUGGCGUAAUAGACUAUUCGCUGAGGAAUUCUAGUCUUCGGACUAGAGCCGGGUUGGGUUAAAGGAAGCUUCUAAUCAGAAUGUCUACAUUUUAAGAUUAGAUCUCAAAUCAGGUAGGACUACCCGCUGAACUUAAGCAUAUCAAUAAGCNGAGGAA